GAGGGUUUUUCUCUAAAUCUGUUUUUUCACUCGAUAAAUUGACAAAUUCUCAUGAGAGAAAAAAAACAUGCACUAGAACGAAUCUAAACAUCGUCCUAAACCAGAACUGGACAUGACAUAUUAAACCUCGCACACACCAUGCGAUAGGUGGGGGCCUCUCACCAGAGGGGCGGAGGCCCACACAUGGCGUGGCUGGGCCGGCGGGCGAAGGCAGAGGGGGCUGGGCCUCGGGGAGCAGGGCCCACGCCAGGGCGCAUGUCCACGUGCACUGGAGGCAAGGG
rnacentral:lncRNA from 1 species